GCUGGUGACAUGAGAGGC
rnacentral:miRNA from 1 species